rnacentral:rRNA from 1 species
CCUACGGGGGGCAGCAGUGGGGAAUAUUGCACAAUGGGCGAAACCCUGAUGCAGCAACGCCGCGUGAGUGAAGCAGUCUUUCGGUAUGUAAAGCUCUAUCAGCAGGGAAGAAGAUGACGGUACCUGCGUAAGAAGCCCCGGCUAACUCCGUGCCAGCAGCCGCGGUAAUACGUAGGGGGCAAGCGUUAUCCGGAUUUACUGGGUGUAAAGGGAGCGUAGACGGUGAGACAAGUCUGAAGUGAAAGCCCGGGGCUCAACCCCGGGACUGCUUUGGAAACUGGCUGACUGGAGUGCGGGAGAGGUAAGCGGAAUUCCUAGUGUAGCGGUGAAAUGCGUAGAUAUUAGGAAGAACACCAGUGGCGAAGGCGGCUUGCUGGACAGUAACUGACGUUGAGGCUCGAAAGCGUGGGGAGCAAACAGGAUUAGAUACCCCAGUAGUC